rnacentral:tRNA from 1 species
GUGGUUGUAGCUCAGUGGAAGAGCGCUUGUCUAGCAUGCAUGAGGCCUUGGGUUCAAUCUCCAAUACCAUC